CGAAUGAGGUGAGUCAGUAACAUUGGUCAAGAUUAUUUAGAAACCUGCUGUCUGUAAUGGACAUUAUAUUGGUGUGCUGUCAAUAAAUAACAUGCAUGAAGAGUUACACUAAUUUGUCCAGUAAUACGGCCCCAGUAUUACAUAAUAGUUGUAGCAUGAACACGUGAUGGAUAAUGUGCGUAAAAUUGCCAAGCUAGAGCGUCUGGGCAUCAUUAUCUGAUUAAUGCGGAUACUUUUCACUGUCCGAAGGUUCAAAGGUCAUCUUUUGUACAACGGUAUUCAUAUUUUUGGAACAAAACAACGCUUUACAGAAAACAUUUGCAAGGAUAUUAGCAUCAAUUCUUAAAAGGACGUAUGCACCAUUUUUAAGAAAGGAAACGUAAAAUAUAUCAAGGUUACUGGUGGUGAAAAUGAGCUGAAAAGAAAGAAACAGACCAGUAGUAAUAAAGAAAUCACAGCUGAGGUUGCUGUGAUUGAAUGGACAAAGAAAAGGGUGUUUAUUUGAAUUCUUGCUGAUAAUGGUAAAUGGAGUUUUCAAAAAGGCCAGUUGGAUGCGGUUUCAAUAUAAAUUUUGCAUUGCGAAAGCUUAACAAGAAAGAUGAACUUGAAAUUGACUUCAGUUAUAUGAUACCUAAUUUUUGUGAGAAAAUCAACAGAGACACAAAUUUAUUGGCGGAGACGGAAAGGGACUAUACCAUCAAACGUGUAACAGCUUACUUUACUCUAAGUAAAACACUGUUUGUUUUAAUUUAUGGACCACAAUGAACAUAUGUUAUGAUCCGUAAUUGUGGCAUGUAUGCAAUUUUGCGUUUUGUUCAUAUCUGAUUCAUUUGAUUGAUAUUAUUGUGUUGUUUUAGAUGCUGUAUUGUAAACUUCUAUAUAACAAAAACUGAAUACAAAAUCUCUUGCACCAUUUAUAUAGUAAUUUGCCUUAUUAAUUAUAAAUGUCUACAUCUGAAAGGAACGAAAGUAAAUCAUUCUGCAAAUGUUGUAGCUAUUUCUAAAACUAAAUGUAUUCAAAAUACCGUUUCCACGUAAUAUUUCUGUUUCAGAACUCAUUUAAAUAGAACAUUAGAAAUCUAAUAUAUGAUUUACCUUUAAAUUGUUCUAUUUGUAUUAUAAAACAUAUAACAGGAUAUUGAUCAGCUAACGCGCGUAUUAGUAUCGUUAUGUAAUACAGUUUAAAGCACGAACCGUUGUCUUACUAAUUAAAUUAACUAUUUUCUGUUGUAUAUAUUUUACUUGUUUUCAGCAUACUUCUGGUUGGUGCAGAUUUAACGGCCCGCUUUGGUUUCGAAAGUAAAUGGCUAUUUAUUAUACUUGGCACAUGACCUUUUCAUUCAUCAUUUCUAUAAUGAUCCUGGUCUGUUCAGCGAUAGCCAGUCGUAGAUUUCGUAGAG
rnacentral:lncRNA from 1 species